AUGGCUGAGUUACUCCCCCACCCCCAAAGCAAAGGUUACAAUGGAAAUGCUGACACAGUCCGUGCCACAGCAACAUUGCUUGCCGAGAGUCUCACAUGUAGUUGUUGGUUUGAAACCAACCACCAGCUCCACAUGAAAAGGACAACAGAACACCAGGAGAGGGAGCUCGAAUCUGCACUGGCUGAAGUGAAUAUGGAACACGAUUUUACUCCUGCUAUUUCCAGUUUUUGCGUUAAGUCCAAACAUGAAGAUUAAGCCCUCUCAAGUAGUGAGAGUAAGUACUUCUAUAAUUGGGUAUUUGGUUUAUACUAACACAUAAUAUUCUCUCAGACUGCAUUUUAGUCUGUACCUGUCAACUAGAAGAAUAGGUGUUUGUUCAAGUUGGGGGGUUGAAGUUA
rnacentral:lncRNA from 1 species